rnacentral:rRNA from 1 species
GACGAACGCUGGCGGCGUGCUUAACACAUGCAAGUCGAACGGAAAGGCCCUGCUUUUGUGGGGUGCUCGAGUGGCGAACGGGUGAGUAACACGUGAGUAACCUGCCCUUGACUUUGGGAUAACUUCAGGAAACUGGGGCUAUUACCGGAUAGGAGCUCCUGCUGCGUGGUGGGGGUUGGAAAGUUUCGGCGGUUGGGGAUGGACUGGCGGCUUAUCAGCUUGUUGGUGGGGUAGUGGCUUACCAAGGGUUUGACGGGUAGCCGGCCUGAGAGGGGGACCGGGGACAUGAGGACUGCGGUAGGGCCCAGUAUGCAACGGGAGGCAGCAGUGGGGAGUCUUGCACAGUGGGCCGACGCCUGAUGCAGCAACGUCGCGUGCGGGAUGACGGCCUUCGGGGUGUAAACCGCUGUCGCCUGUGACGAGGAGAGAGUGACGGUAAUGGAUAAAGAAGCACCGGCUAACUACGUG